CAAUAGCGUAUAUUAAAGUUGUUGCAGUUAAAAGCUCGUAGUCGGAUUUCGGGUCGGGCCGAGCGGUCUGCCGAUGGGUAUGCACUGUUUGGCGCGGCCUUCUUUCCGGAGACCGCGGCUACUCUUAACUGAGCGGGCGUGGGAGACGGAUCGUUUACUUUGAAAAAUUAGAGUGUUCAAAGCAGGCAUUCGCUUGAAUAUCUCAGCAUGGAAUAAUAGAAUAGGACUUUGGUCUUAUUUUGUUGGUUUCCGAGACCGAAGUAAUGAUUAAUAGGGACAGUUGGGGCAUUCGUAUUUCAUUGUCAGAGGUGAAAUUCUUGGAUUUAUGAAAGACGAACUUCUGCGAAAGCAUUUGCCAAGGAUGUUUUCAUUAAUCAAGAACGAAAGUUGGAGGCUCGAAGAUGAUUAGAUACCA
rnacentral:rRNA from 1 species